rnacentral:rRNA from 1 species
GGGCCCGCACAAGCGGUGGAGUAUGUGGUUUAAUUCGAUGCAACGCGAAGAACCUUACCAGGGUUUGACAUCCUGCGAAUCUCUUGGAAACUUGAGAGUGCCUUCGGGAGCGCAGUGACAGGUGGUGCAUGGCUGUCGUCAGCUCGUGUCGUGAGAUGUUGGGUUAAGUCCCGCAACGAGCGCAACCCACGUCUUUAGUUGCCAGCAUUUAGUUGGGCACUCUAGAGAGACCGCCGGUGAUAAACCGGAGGAAGGUGUGGAUGACGUCAAGUCAUCAUGCCCCUUACAUCCUGGGCUACACACGUACUACAAUGGUAGGUACAGAGGGGAGCGAAGUUGCGAAGCGGAGCGAA